rnacentral:rRNA from 1 species
GAUGAACGCUGGCGGCGUGCCUAAUACAUGCAAGUCGAGCGAACAGAUAAGGAGCUUGCUCCUUUGACGUUAGCGGCGGACGGGCGGGUAAGACGUGGGUAACCUACCUAUAAGACUGGAAUAACUCCGGGAAACCGGGGCUAAUGCCGGAUAACAUUUAGAACGGGAUGGUUCUAAAGUGAAAGAUGGUUUUGCUAUCACUUAUAGAUGGAGCCGGGCCGUAUUAGCUAGUUGGUAAGGUAACGGCUUACCAAGGCAACGAUACGUAGCCGAGCUGAGAGGAUGAUCGGCCACACUGGAACUGAGACACGGUCCAGACUCCUACGGGAGGCAGCAGUAGGGAAUCUUGCGCAAUGGGCGAAAGCCUGACGGAGCAAUGCCGCGUGAGUGAUGAAGGUCUUCGGGUUGUAAAGCUCUGUUGUUAGGAAAGAAAAGAUGUGUAAGUAUCUGUGGACGUCUUGACGGUACCUAAACAAAAAGCACCGGCUAACUACGUG